GACAGCAGCAGCCACGGGAAUACGUAGGUGGCAAGCGUUGUCCGGAAUUAUUGGGCGUAAAGCGAGCGCAGGCGGUUAGAUAAGUCUGAAGUUAAAGGCUGUGGCUUAACCAUAGUACGCUUUGGAAACUGUUUAACUUGAGUGCAAGAGGGGAGAGUGGAAUUCCAUGUGUAGCGGUGAAAUGCGUAGAUAUAUGGAGGAACACCGGUGGCGAAAGCGGCUCUCUGGCUUGUAACUGACGCUGAGGCUCGAAAGCGUGGGGCGCAAACAGGAUUAGAUACCCCCGUAGUCCCUGUCUCUUAUACA
rnacentral:rRNA from 1 species